UUUCCCUCAUCCACACCAACCGGUCGCCCGAAUCUCGAGCGCCACCCAUGGCCUCCUCCGCCUUGUCCGGCACCCACCAUCGCCUCCUUCUCCCCUGUUUCCUGCGCCGCCUCCCCCGACCCCGCUCGCGCUCGUGCUCCCGCCUCCGCCUCGCCGCCUGCCACGCCGACACCCUCCUUUCCUCCUCCGGGGCCCAGGGGCCGCCCUCCCCCGCCGCGUGCUCGUCGGCAUCCUCCGCUGGCGGGUUCUCUGACUGGCUACUCACGAAUGGGCUGCCGCCGGGCAAGGUGGCCAUCCUGGAGCGCCCCGUCCCGUGCUCUCGCGGGGGCAAAGACCGGCCAUUACACUUCGUCGCUGCUGGGCAGGACCUCGAGGCGGGGGAUGUGGCGUUCGAGGUGCCCAUGUCGCUCGUUGUCACACUGGAGCGGGUUCUCGGCGACGAGUCGGUCGCUGAAUUGUUAACAACAAACAAAUUGUCUGAGCUGGCAUGCUUGGCAUUGUAUCUGAUGUAUGAGAAGAAGCAAGGAAGAGAUUCACUUUGGUACCCGUAUAUUAAAGAACUUGAUCGUCAGCGAGGCAGGGGGCAACUAGCUGUUGAAUCACCUCUUUUAUGGAUUGAAAGUGAACUGGAUUACCUGAAUGGCAGCCCCAUGAGGGAUGAAGUUGUUGUUAGAGAUGAGGGAAUAAGAAGAGAGUAUAAUGAGCUUGACACAUUGUGGUUCAUGGCAGGUUCAUUGUUUAAGCAAUACCCUUUUGAUGUACCUACUGAGGCGUUUCCGUUUGAGAUCUUCAAGCAGGCAUUUGUUGCAGUACAGUCUUGUGUGGUUCAUUUGCAGAAGGUUAGUUUAGCUCGAAGAUUUGCACUAGUUCCCUUGGGCCCACCACUGUUGACGUACAAGAGCAACUGCAAAGCAAUGCUGACUGCUGUUGAUGGUUCUGUUCGGUUGCUGGUCGAUCGGCCGUACAAAGCAGGAGAACCAAUAAUUGUUUGGUGUGGGCCUCAACCAAACUCCAGGUUGCUUCUCAAUUAUGGUUUUGUUGAUGAAGACAAUCCAUAUGAUCGCAUAGCAAUCGAGGCAUCCCUAAACACUGAAGAUCCUCAAUACCAAGAGAAGAGAAUGGUCGCUCAAAGAAAUGGAAAGCUUGCUAUCCAAAAAUUCCAAGUCUGUGUAGGCAAAGAGAAGGAAACUAUUUCUGAAAUGCUGCCAUACUUGAGACUAGGAUACAUUUCAGAUCCAGAUGAAAUGCAAUGUAUACUUUCGUCAGAAGGUGAUACAUGUCCAGUUAGUCCAUGCUCAGAGCGAGCUGUACUUGACCAACUUGUUGUCUACCUGAAAUCAAGAUUGGCUGGUUAUCCGACUACUUUGGACGAGGAUGAAGCAAUGUUGGCCGAGGGCAGUUUGGAGCCAAAGAAAGAAGUUGCCACUAGACUUGUAAGGUUAGAGAAGAAAAUGCUGCAUGGCUGUCUUCAGGCUGCUAACGAGUUCAUAAGUGGCUUGCCUGAUCAUACAGUAUCACCUUGCCCUGCUCUAUAUGCUCCUGAAUUGAAAUAAGAGAAGCAAGUGUGCAGUGAGAUUCAAUUAUUGCUAGAUGGACAUAUCACUUCAGGACACGUUCUCUGUUAAGUGCAUCAUUAGAAGAGGGAGUAGUUUCAAAUACAUGACUGUUACUGUACCAAGGAAUGCCAGAAGCAGUAAACCUGCUAUUGAUUUUACUGUUUAUGAAACCUGUUCGAGUGUAACAAGGAUAUUGUCGAUCUCCACUAGAUCUGCAAACAGUUUUAUUGCACACAAAUGUGCAUUGAUUUGCUUUUCCAGCAGUGUAGAUUCGUUCUGUGUGUUCAUUUUCAUGAUUGAGAGUUAGCAAUGGUAUCUUGGACAUGCUCACUUUCCAUUUUGUGCAUAGAAGAACAUGCACGAAAAUUGGCUUGGCUCAGCUAUUCUAUUGUAACGGCUGGUUUAGAAUUACCGAAUCUGUCGAUCCAGAGCUGGUAAUUGCAUGACAGUAGUUAUGCUCUGAUGCUGCAUACCGCUAUUUGUAGUUUGAUUAUCUUCUCGAUGCUUUGCCAAAAAUUCGUUUCUUUGCCCAA